CACCUUAGGAAAAUAAUAGAAGUUAGAUUUACAUUUGCAUAAACUGAAUUAAACCUAAUUACAAAUUUUUGUCUACUUGAUUACUGUUAACCGCAAUUUCCGGUGGUAACGUUACGUUAAAAACUCCGUUCAUGAAAAUAGAAAUAAAACGCACAGCAUUACAAAGCUAAGAAUACGGAUUAUUAGGAUGGAAGCAGAAAUCAAGGGGUAAACGGCAAAACUCAAUAAAAAAUUUUCUUCUUUCAUGGAAAAUUUGGCUUGCAAAGCUACACCAUAUUUCAACGACUAAUAGUCUCAUUAGCUGAAUGAUUUAACCGCUAUACUGCUUCCUUUAGAUGAUAAAUAUAAUGCUAA